rnacentral:rRNA from 1 species
UAGGGAAUCUUCCACAAUGGACGCAAGUCUGAUGGAGCAACGCCGCGUGAGUGAAGAAGGUCUUCGGAUCGUAAAGCUCUGUUGUUGGUGAAGAAGGAUAGAGGCAGUAACUGGUCUUUAUUUGACGGUAAUCAACCAGAAAGUCACGGCUAACUACGUGCCAGCAGCCGCGGUAAUACGUAGGUGGCAAGCGUUGUCCGGAUUUAUUGGGCGUAAAGCGAGCGCAGGCGGAAUGAUAAGUCUGAUGUGAAAGCCCACGGCUCAACCGUGGAACUGCAUCGGAAACUGUCAUUCUUGAGUGCAGAAGAGGAGAGUGGAACUCCAUGUGUAGCGGUGGAAUGCGUAGAUAUAUGGAAGAACACCAGUGGCGAAGGCGGCUCUCUGGUCUGCAACUGACGCUGAGGCUCGAAAGCAUGGGUAGCGAACAGGAUUAGAUACCCUGGUAGUCCAUGCCGUAAACGAUGAGCGCUAGGUGUUGGGGACUUUCCGGUCCUCAGUGCCGCAGCAAACG